ACGAACGCUGGCGGCGUGCUUAACACAUGCAAGUCGAACGGUGAAGCGCCUUCCUUUUUGGUGGGUGUGGAUGAGUGGCGAACGGGUGAGUAACACGUGAGUAACCUGCCCCCUUCUUCUGGAUAACCGCAUGAAAGUGUGGCUAAUACGGGAUAUUCUGGGUCUGUCGCAUGAUGGGUCUGGGAAAGAUAUUGUUUCGGUGGGGGAUGGGCUCGCGGCCUAUCAGCUUGUUGGUGGGGUGAUGGCCUACCAAGGCGGUGACGGGUAGCCGGCCUGAGAGGGUGCACGGUCACACUGGGACUGAGACACGGCCCAGACUCCUACGGGAGGCAGCAGUGGGGAAUAUUGCACAAUGGGCGCAAGCCUGAUGCGGCGACGCCGCGUGAGGGAUGGAGGCCUUCGGGUUGUGAACCUCUUUCGCCAGUGAAGCAGGCCUGCCUCGUUUGUGGGUGGGUGGACGGUAGCUGGAUAAGAAGCGCCGGCUAACUACGU
rnacentral:rRNA from 1 species